GACGAACGCUGGCGGCGUGCCUAAUACAUGCAAGUUGAGCGCUGAAGGUUGGUCCUUGUACCAACUGGCUGAGCCGCGAACGGGUGAGUAACGCGUGGGGAAUCUGCCUUUGAGCGGGGGACAACAGUUGGAAACGAAUGAUAAUACCGCAUAAAAACUUUAAACACAAGUUUUAAGUUUGAAAGAUGCAAUUGCAUCAUUCAACGAUGAUCCCGCGUUGUAUUAGCUAGUUGGGGAGGUAAAGGCUUACCAAGGCGAGGAUACAUAGCCGACCUGAGAGGGUGAUCGGCCACAUUGGGACUGAGACACGGCCCAAACUCCUACGGGAGGCAGCAGUAGGGAAUCUUCGGCAAUGGACGAAAGUCUGACCGAGCAACGCCGCGUGAGUGAAGAAGGUUUUCGGAUCGUAAAACUCUGUUGGUAGAGAAGAACGGUGGUGAGAGUGGAAAGCUCAUCAAGUGACGGUAACUACCCAGAAAGGGACGGCUAACUACGUG
rnacentral:rRNA from 1 species